rnacentral:misc_RNA from 1 species
GUAGGUGAACCUGCGGAAGGAUCAUUAACAAAAAAAUUAAUUAACUCUUAAGUUAAAACCCCGCGCAAAAACAACGACUCUAAUUUAAUUCGCUUGACAAUGCUCUUCUUUUGCUAGAAAGGUUUGGUUGGUUGGAGGACUCUGUCCUUCGUCCUCUGAAACUUUUGGGCAGUUGGGACUUUGUAAAGUUUUCAAAACCCCCAAUCUUGUCUAUUUACUCUGUUUGAAAUUAUUUUUCUGUCUCUUUCUU